UACGAAGGGGGCUAGCGUUGCUCGGAAUCACUGGGCGUAAAGCGCACGUAGGCGGAUUGCUAAGUCAGGGGUGAAAUCCUGGAGCUCAACUCCAGAACUGCCUUUGAUACUGGCGAUCUCGAGUCCGGGAGAGGUGAGUGGAACUGCGAGUGUAGAGGUGAAAUUCGUAGAUAUUCGCAAGAACACCAGUGGCGAAGGCGGCUCACUGGCCCGAUACUGACGCUGAGGUGCGAAAGCGUGGGGGAGCAAACAGG
rnacentral:rRNA from 1 species